rnacentral:lncRNA from 1 species
AACAAACAAUACCAGCGCUCCCCAUGGGGAUACACUUGGCCAGAUGAAACCCUUAUCCAAUAAUUCCUGUAGUUAUAUCUUCAACUCCUGUAAUUCUUUUGGUGCCAUCCUGUAAGGAGCCUUAGAUAUUGGCGCUGCCCCAAGGGUCAAGUCAAUUGUGAACUCUACUUGUCUAUCAGGUGGUAUACCAGGUAAAUCCUCAGGAAAAACAUCCACAAACUCAUUAACUACUAGUACAUCUUCUAUUUUUCUUUCGGUUUGGGGCUUACUAAUUAUAUUCAAUAGAAAUCCUUGACAAGUAUUCUUUCUCAACAUCUUUUGUGCUUUCAUUGCAGAUACCAAUCGAGGUAGGGUCCCAAUUUUUGUUCCAAAGAAUCGAAAAAAAUUUUCUCCAGGUUUUUGAAAUAAAACUUCCUUCUUAUGGCAUAAGAUGGUUGCAUAAUUUCUACCCAACCAGUCCAUACCCAAAAUUACAUCAAAGUCUUUCAUCCUCAAAAGGUACAAAUCUGCCUUUAGUACUUUUCCUUCGAUCUCUAACUUAACAUCUUUAACCAUUUGAUUGGUAUUAAUCACUUCGCCUGAUGGUGUACUAACUUCUAAAAUGUUAUUCAUUUUUACAAAUUCAUUCCCAAUCUUAUCCAUGAAAAUUGUAGAAAUAAAUGAAUGAGUGGAUCCAGAAUCCAUAAGGACAAUAGCAGGUACGUCAAAUACUGGUAACAUACCUGUUAUUACGUCUGUGUUCUGAUCCUCCUUUUCUUCUGUCAAAGCAAAUACUCUGGCCUUUCCCUUCUUAAGAUGAUCACCUUCUCUCUUCUUCUCUGGACAUUCUCUAAGGAAAUGACCACUCUUACCACAACUGUAGCAUACUCCCUUUCCCUGAAGACACUCACCCAAGUGUCGCUUGUUACAAUUGGAGCAUUGAGGAAAAGUUUUAUUUGAGUCUAACCCAAUCUUUCCUUUCUUAUUCUGGUUCCUGCCUUUCUCCUUAUCAUGACCUUGCCACUUUCUCUUUAUAGAUGACUCGGUGCUGGGUUGGGUUUUCUUUUCCAGUCCUAAACCAUUAGAGAUUGCUUGUGCUCGACGUACAACCUCUGCAUAAGUAGUAUUCUGCUGGGCUGCCAUGAUUCCCUUGAUCUCUGGCCUUAACCCCAUCUCAAACCUUUUAGCCUUUGUCAGCUCAGUGUUCACCAUAUGCGGUGCAUACCUAGAAAGUCGUUCAAAUUUUCUUUCAUACUCCCCAAGUGGCAAAUUUCCUUGCGUGAGCUGGAGAAAUUCUACCUCCUUUUGAUCUUUCAGUGACUGGGGAAAAUAUUUACCCAUCAGCGACUCCUUGAACUGGUUCCAAGUGAGGUUACGUUGUUGUUCUGUAGUUCUAGUACGUGUUUCAGACUCCCACCAAUGUCCAGCAUCAUCAGUCAACAUAAACUUUGCACAAGAAACCUUUUGAGCAUCAUUGCAGUUCAUGUGCUCGAAGAUCCCUUCAAGUCUUCUCAGCCACUCCUCAGCUGCGAAAGGAUCACCUUUACCAUCAAAGGACGGAGGUUUAAAGCGACGAAACUGUUCAACAAUUGAGCUCAUGGUGUUGGCACCUCUUGUUGCAUUAUGAGGUGCCGCUUGAGGCUGCUGCCUGCCCAAGUCUUGCACUGCCCUUAGUAAAUCUCUAAACAUAGUAGCUUGAUCUUGUUGUCAUCGUGCCAUUUCCUUGAAGUAAAAGUAAUUUAUCUUAAGAACUGCUCAACCAUACUACACUCUUCCUAAAGGUUUUUCUAUAUUUAGUCAUGUCUUUCGUGUAUGUUAUGCUAAGGCCAAGUGUUAUGCACUAAGGUUCUAGUCAUAUAAGAAUUGCUUUACUAAUCAUACAAUCCUACACAAAAUAAUCAUUUGCUUAAUUAACAUUCUCCCUUAAAGUAAAAUGACGUGUAGAAAAAAAAAAAUCAUGCAAUUAACUAGUAUGCACUGAAAUAUAAAUGGUAAUAUCAAUAAAAAUAUUCUUCAUCCUUACAUACCUUAAAAUAUUGGAC